AUUGAACGCUGGCGGCAGGCUUAACACAUGCAAGUCGAGCGAGCGGCGGACGGGUGAGUAAUGUCUGGGAAACUGCCUGAUGGAGGGGUAUAACUACUGGAAACGGUAUCUAAUACCGCAUACCCUCAGGUGUGCCCAGGUGGUAUUAGCUAGUGGGAGGGGUAAUGUCUCACCUAGGCGACGAUCCCUAGCUGGUCUGAGAGGAUGACCAGCCACACUGUAACUGAGACACGGUCCAGACUCCUACGGGAGGCAGCAGGGGGGAAUAUUGCACAAUGGGCGCAAGCCUGAUGCAGCCAUGCCGCGUGUGUGAAGAAGGCCUUCGGGUUGUAAAGCACUUUCAGCGGGGAGGCGUUACUCGCAGAAGAAGCACCGGCUAACUCCGUGCCAGCAGCCGCGGUAAUUC
rnacentral:rRNA from 1 species